rnacentral:rRNA from 1 species
UACGUAGGCGGGAAAUUAAGUCAGCGGUGAAAGCCCCGAGCUCAACUUGGGAACUGCCAUUGAUACUGAUUUUCUUGAAUAUGGCUGAGGUGGGCGGAAUACGUCAUGUAGCGGUGAAAUGCAUAGAUAUGACGUAGAACACCAAUUGCGAAGGCAGCUCACUAAACCAUCAUUGACGCUGAGGUACGAAAGCGUGGGGAGCGAACAGGAUUAGAUACCCUGGUAGUCC